GACGAACGCUGGCGGCGUGCUUAACACAUGCAAGUCGAACGGAAAGGCCCUGCGUUUGUGGGGUGCUCGAGUGGCGAACGGGUGAGUAACACGUGAGUAACCUGCCCUUGACUUUGGGAUAACAUCAGGGAACUGGGGCUAAUACCGGAUAGGAGCUCCUGCUGCACGGUGGGGGAUGGAAAGUGUCGGCGGUUGGGGCUGGACUAGCGGGUUAUCCGCUUGAUGGUGGGGUAGUGGCUUACAAAGGCUUUGACGGGUAGCCGGCCUGAGAGGGUGACCGGCCACAUUGGGACUGAGAGACGGCCCAGACGCCUACGGGAGGCAGCAGGGGGGAAUAUUGCACAAUGGGCCGAAGCCUGAUGCAGCAACGCCGCGUGCGGGAUGACGGCCUUCGGGGUGUAAACCGCUUUCGCCUGUGACGAAGCGUGAGUGACGGUAAUGGGUAAAGAAGCACCGGCUAACUACGUG
rnacentral:rRNA from 1 species